GCCCCCCGGACAGACGCGUGAGGGAGAGGCCUACUGGGUUGUAACCCCUUUUGAUAGGGAAGAACCAAUGACGGUACCUAUCGAAUCAGCCUCGGCUAACUCCGUGCCAGCAGCCGCGGUAAUACGGAGGAGGCAAGCGUUAUCCGGAAUUAUUGGGCGUAAAGCUCCCGUAGGGGGAUAUUCAAGUCAGUGUCAAAGACGUGGAGCUCAACUCCAUAAAGGCAGUUGAAACUGAAGUCUAGAGUGCGAUAGGGGCAGAGGGAAUUCCCAGUGUAGCGGUGAAAUGCGUAGAGAUUGGAAGAACAUCGGUGGCGAAAGCGUCUACUGGGUCGCCACUGACACUAAGGACGAAGGGCACGUUCCC
rnacentral:rRNA from 1 species